GUGAAGUUAAUCACAAACAAACUUAUACCCCUUUGUUUGACCGUGAAAAAUUUCUCCCAUCCCCUUUGUUCGUAAAAGUAAAAAAGGCCUUGCCUUGAGACAGCAAGUCCUUUUU
rfam:Bacillus circulans strain RIT379 contig10, whole genome shotgun sequence.